rnacentral:misc_RNA from 1 species
CCGAGUCUUGGGACCCUCUGGGUACCAGCUCCCACCAAUUGUGAACCUUUUUCGUUGCCUCGGCGGACCUGAUGGUACCCAUCCUCCGGCUCAUCGCUGGGGAGUGUCCGCCGAUGGAUUUUCAAACCCGUCUUAAACCUUGAAAUCUGAGUUAAACAAAAUAAAAACA